rnacentral:rRNA from 1 species
GAUGAACGCUGGCGGCGUGCCUAAUACAUGCAAGUCGAGCGAACAGACGAGGAGCUUGCUCCUCUGACGUUAGCGGCGGACGGGUGAGUAACACGUGGAUAACCUACCUAUAAGACUGGGAUAACUUCGGGAAACCGGAGCUAAUACCGGAUAAUAUAUUGAACCGCAUGGUUCAAUAGUGAAAGACGGUUUUGCUGUCACUUAUAGAUGGAUCCGCGCCGCAUUAGCUAGUUGGUAAGGUAACGGCUUACCAAGGCAACGAUGCGUAGCCGACCUGAGAGGGUGAUCGGCCACACUGGAACUGAGAACCGGUCCAGACUCCUACGGGAGGCAGCAGUAGGGAAUCUUCCGCAAUGGGCGAAAGCCUGACGGAGCAACGCCGCGGGAGGGAUGAAGGUCUUCGGAUCGUAAAACUCUGUUAUUAGGGAAGAACAAAUGUGUAAGUAACUAUGCACGUCUUGACGGUACCUAAUCAGAAAGCCACGGCUAACUACGUG